ACGCUCGACACCUACAGGAGGCAGCAGUAGGGAAUCUUCCACAAUGGGCGCAAGCCUGAUGGAGCAACACCGCGUGAGUGAAGAAGGGUUUCGGCUCGUAAAGCUCUGUUGUUGGAGAAGAACGUGCGUGAGAGUAACUGUUCACGCAGUGACGGUAUCCAACCAGAAAGUCACGGCUAACUACGUGCCUGCAGCCGCGGUAAUCUGAGCGGGCUGGCAAGGC
rnacentral:rRNA from 1 species